rfam:Oryza barthii chromosome 8, whole genome shotgun sequence.
AAAAAGACAAACUCUAAUUUCCAUGUCCAACGUUUGACCAUCCGUCUUAUUUAAAAAAUUUAAAAGAUAAGCCACGCAUAAAGUAUUAAUCAUGUUUUAUCAUCUAACAAUAAUGAAAAUACUAAUUAUAAAAAAAUUUCAUAUAAGACGAACAGUCAAACGUUGACACACGACCCACGGUCUGCAUUGACG